rnacentral:rRNA from 1 species
GACGAACGCUGGCGGCGUGCUUAACACAUGCGAGUCGAACGGAAAGGCCUCUUUCGGGGGGUACUCGAGUGGCGAACGGGUGAGUAACACGUGAGUAACCUGCCCUUGACUUUGGGAUAACUUCAGGAAACUGGGGCUAAUACCGGAUAGGAGCUCCUGCUGCAUGGUGGGGGUUGGAAAGUUUCGGCGGUUGGGGAUGGACUCGCGGCUUAUCAGCUUGUUGGUGGGGUAGUGGCUUACCAAGGCUUUGACGGGUAGCCGGCCUGAGAGGGUGACCGGCCACAUUGGGACUGAGAUACGGCCCAGACUCCUACGGGAGGCAGCAGUGGGGAAUAUUGCACAAGGGGUGGAAGCCUGAUGCAGCAACGCCGUGUGCGGGAGGACGGCCUUCGGGUUGUAAACCGCUUUCGCUCAUGACGAAGCUUUGUGUGACGGUAGUGGGUAAAGAAGCACCGGCUAACUACGUG